rnacentral:rRNA from 1 species
UACGUAGGCAGCAAGCGUUGUUCGGAGUUACUGGGCGUAAAGGGUGCGUAGGUGGCUCUAUAAGUAUGGUGUGAAAUCUCCCGGCUUAACUGGGAGGGUGCGCCGUAGACUGUGGGGCUAGAGUGUGGGAGAGGAAAGUGGAAUUCCUGGUGUAGCGGUGAAAUGCGUAGAUAUCAGGAGGAACACCGGUGGUGUAAACGGCUUUCUGGAC